AAUCAACUUCUCACACGGAUCUACAGGGACAUCGAGCACCAGAAAAAUAGAGAUUACAUUUAUUUAAAAACACCAGGGGUACCAUGGUUCGAACAUUGAACAAUAUGGUGGAGCU